rnacentral:lncRNA from 1 species
UUGUGUUAUUGUUGACCUUGACUUUGAAAUCUAACUGAUUUCUCCAUCUUCACGCUCGCGGCAUCAUAUUUGUGUCUGGGUUUGUUUUCUUCUCGGCGUGAAUGGGUUUUCUUGACGGCGAGGCAGGUUGGAUGAAGCUGGUGGCGUGGGCACAACUGCGCUGGAGAGAAAGGCAUUACGAGACAGAUCGAAGUUGGAGAGGAAGCCAGUGAGGUUGGGGAAAGAGGUGUUUUGGUUCUCGACGAUGGAAUCUUGUUUUCAACCACUUGAAACUUUCUUGCUGGUUUUAUUUUUGUGGUUCAAAGCAAUUUGGUUUUGCUUGUAAUUUGUUUCAAUCUAAGGCAGUAUGCCGUGUAAAAAAAUUUCGCUUGGAUCCCUUUUGAAUUUAAUUG